rnacentral:rRNA from 1 species
ACGGGAGGCAGCAGUGAGGAAUAUUGGUCAAUGGACGAGAGUCUGAACCAGCCAAGUAGCGUGAAGGAUGAAGGUCUACGGAUUGUAAACUUCUUUUAUAAGGGAAUAUGUACCUUAUGAAUAAGCAUCGGCUAACUCCGUGCCAGCAGCCGCGGUAAUACGGAGGACGCGAGCGCUAUCCGGAUUUAUUGGGUUUAAAGGGAGCGCAGACGGGUCGUUAAGUCAGCUGUGAAAGUUUGGGGCUCAACCUUAAAAUUGCAGUUGAUACUGGCGUCCUUGAGUGCGGUUGAGGUGUGCGGAAUUCGUGGUGUAGCGGUGAAAUGCUUAGAUAUCACGAAGAACUCCGAUUGCGAAGGCAGCACACUAAUCCGUAACUGACGUUCAUGCUCGAAAGUGUGGGUAUCAAACAGGAUUAGAUACCCUGGUAGUCCACACGGUAAACGAUGGAUACUCGCUGUUGGCCAGCGGCUUAGCGAAAGCGUUAAGUAUCCCACCUGGGGAGUACGCCGGCAACGGUGAAACUCAAAGGAAUUGACGG